rnacentral:rRNA from 1 species
CGAGACCUCAGGUCAGGCGGGGCUACCCGCUGAAUUUAAGCAUAUCAAUAAGCGGAGGAAAAGAAACUAACA